GAUGAAGAACGUAGCUAAAUGCGAUAAGUAAUGUGAAUUGCAGAAUUCAGUGAAUCAUCGAAUCUUUGAACGCACAUUGCACCUCUCGGUAUUCCGGGAGGUAUGCCUGUUCGAGCGUCAUUUGUACCCUCAAGCUCUGCUUGGUGUUGGGUGUUUGUUCCGCCUCUGUGUGUGAACUCGCCUCAAAACAAUUGGCAGCCGGCGUACUUGUUUCGGAGCGCAGCACAUUUUGCGAUCCAGAUCAACGUACAGCGGCAUCCAAGAAGCCUUAUUUAACGCUCUUGACCUCGGAUCAGGUAGGGAUACCCGCUGAACUUAAGCAUAUCAAUAAGCGGAGGA
rnacentral:misc_RNA from 1 species